GUCAGACUGCCAAAGUUUGAACCAGCACUGACUAUUGAUUCAUGUUGCACCAAACUGCCUUCCUGCUUCCCACAGCUUGUCACCCUGCUCCUGUGAAGGUCACAGAGACACCUCCCCCCACCCAACACACACACAACUGGUACCCAAACUUGAGGCUCAACUCCCGGAGAAGAGACUUCUUAUGGAGGAAAACGACAUAACCAACAGGAAAAUGACUGGAUGGAGCCCCUUACCAUGCCAUCUCUAUGCUUCAUAUGAUUUUUAAACCCUAAAAAAUCUUCAAAACCCAAAUGGAUGUCAACGUCACCCAUUACCUUUGAGUUCUUAAAGAACUUCAGAAAAUCAGUCUCUGCCAAUGGCAUGCAUGCUGCAUUUACUGACAUGAUGUGGAAACAUUUAAGCCGGGCUGUUGUUAUUCCUUGGGACUCUAAGCAAAAAAUGAAUGAAGUCCCAGAUGGCUCCCACUCUGAUGCAUCGGACUAGGACAGCAUCCUUGAGACCACUAGACAAAUGAACUGCCUGAAGGGAGACAACAAACCCUUCAAGAGGAGAUGUCCCAAGAGGAAGAGAAAGCUGAUAACUUGGGGAGACUUCAAUACUUUAACUCGUCAAGCAGAGAUCAUGGGGAGACAACAAGGACAUUCAUUACACUACUGAUCCCAAAAUGAUGCUAUUGUAUUUACUGACUAUAUAACAUGUUAAUUCUCAGCUUUGUCAAUACAGAAUCCAAGUGAUUUUUCUCAGGGGGUAUAAAAGGCACACCUGGGCCAGGCAGUGGUGGCUUAUGUCUUUAAUCACAGCACUCGGGAGAUAUAGACAGGUGGAUUUCUAUGAGUUCAAGGUGGAUUUCUGUGAGUUCAAAGCCAGCCUUGUCUACAGAGUAAGUUCCAGGACAGUCUCCAAAGCUACAGAGGAACCCUCUCUCUCUCUCAAAAAAAAAAGGCCUGCCUGUAAUAGGAGACAGUAGAAUGUUGUUUUGCCAUGUUAAGGACUGUAUUUAUGCUUCUUUCUUACCACUCCCAGGAAUAAUUACUGUAAUACAAAGAGAUAUUUAAAGAAUUGCCUGUAUGAUUAGCAAAACUACUAAUAUUACAGCAAAAAUUCUAGUAGAGAUUAACCAAGAGAGGGGUGAAUUGAAAACCAUGGUUUUACAAAAAUAGAGCUUUUAUCAAUUUCCUGUUGCUCAAGCACAAUCUUGCUUGCCAAUAAUUUCCUGGCAUGUGCUGCUUUAAUGUGUCAGAUUUCUCUCACACUGUUGAUUGCCAAAUUAAUGAUCUGCAUAAAGAGAAAAUCUCUCAAGUGACCUUUGUGUGGCUGUCAUUGUUAAGAUGCCUUUCCCUUUCCCUACUUCUUGCUUAGCUAUUCUUAUACUUCUGUUAUGUUUGUCUAUAAUAGACUAGCCAUGCACUAUUGGCCUCUAUUACAGCCAAGAUUUUCUCUUAAAAAAUUAAAAAAGGGUGGGGGAAAGAACUGGGAUUGAUGUGUAAAACAGAAUAAUAAAAUUACAAAAGUAUUUAAAGGGGGGAAGGCAGUUGUAGGAGGCAUGUAAGCACUAGAGGAAUCUGGAUGUUAGCAAACAUGGUUGUUCCAUCAAAGGAAGGGAUGCAUAACCCAUUAUACUCCCAGAAGGCCAGAAGUGGAUGUGGUCAAUAUCCUACUCACCUUUGUGCUGUGUGGCUGGAGACCACAUUAGCUCCUCCCCAAGACCCCUGUCAUAGCUUGUUUUUCUCAGUAAAUCUAUAAAACCAAUCUAUGGUUGUCACAUGGACUUUAUAGAGUUUUGAUGUAGUCAUGUCUUUUAUUCAUUUAUCUUACUUUGUUCCUCAAGGAGAUUUAUGUUGCUUUAUUGUACAUAAGAGUUAAUUAUCACCAGAAUAAGUUUCCACCAAAUUGUGCUGUGCUUAAAUAUGCCUAAAAAUAAACUUCUUGGGUCAGACUCCAGAAGUUUGAAACAACAC
ensembl:lncRNA